rnacentral:rRNA from 1 species
GUGGGGAAUAUUGGACAAUGGGGGGAACCCUGAUCCAGCCAUGCCGCGUAUGUGAAGAAGGCCUUUUGGUUGUAAAGCACUUUAAGCGAGGAGGAGGCUACCGAGAUUAAUACUCUUGGAUAGUGGACGUUACUCGCAGAAUAAGCACCGGCUAACUCUGUGCCAGCAGCCGCGGUAAUACAGAGGGUGCAAGCGUUAAUCGGAUUUACUGGGCGUAAAGCGCGCGUAGGGGGCCAAUUAAGUCAAAUGUGAAAUCCCCGUGCUUAACUUGGGAAUUGCAUUCGAUACUGGUUGGCUAGAGUAUGGGAGAGGAUGGUAGAAUUCCAGGUGUAGCGGUGAAAUGCGUAGAGAUCUGGAGGAAUACCGAUGGCGAAGGUAGCCAUCUGGCCUAAUACUGACACUGAGGUGCGAAAGCAUGGGGAGCAAACAGGAUUAGAUACCCUUGUAGUCC